rnacentral:rRNA from 1 species
GAUGAACGCUGGCGGCGUGCCUAAUACAUGCAAGUCGAGCGAACGGACGAGAAUCUUGCUUCUCUGAUGUUAGCGGCGGGCGGGUGAGUAACACGUGGAUAACCUCCCUAUCAGACUGGUAUAACUUCGGGAAACCGUCGCUAAUACCGGAUAAUAUUUUGCACCGCAUUGUUCAAAAGUGAAAGACGGUCUUUCUGUCACUUCUCGAUGCAUCCGCGCUGCAUUGGCUGGUUGGUAAGGUAACGGCUUACCAAGGCAACGAUGCGUAGCCGAACUGAGAGGGUGAUAGGCCACACUGGAACUGGGACACGGUCAAGACUCCUAAGGGAGGCAGCAGUAGGGAAUCUUACGCAGAGGGCGAAAGCCUGACGGAGCAACGCGGCGUGAGUGAUGAAGGUCUUCGGAGCGUAAAAAUCUGUUAUGAGGGAAGAACAGAUGUGUAAGGAACUGUGCACAUCGUGACGGUACCUAAUAAGAAAGCCACGGCUAACUACGUG